GACAGAGGUGGCAAGCGUUGUUCGGAAUCACUGGGCUUAAAGGGCGAGUAGGCGGUGAGGUAAGUCUGUGGUGGAAUCCUAUGACUCAAUCAUAGAAUUGCCUUGGAAACUGCUUUACUUGAGUCAGUGAGGGGAGGGCGGAGUUCCUGGUGUAGCGGUGAAAUGCGUAGAUAUCAGGAGGAAGGCCUGUGGCGAAGGCGGCCCUCUGGCACUGCACUGACGCUGAGGCGCGAAAGCGUGGGUAGCAAACAGGAUUAGAUACCCUGGUAGUCCACGCCCUAAACGGUGGGCAUUAGGUGUAGGGCUCGUAAGGGUUUUGUGCCGAAGGGAAACCAUUAAAUGCCCCGCCUGGGGAAUACGGCCGCAAGGUUGAAACUCAAAUGAAUUGACGG
rnacentral:rRNA from 1 species